GAUGAACGCUGGCGGCGUGCCUAAUACAUGCGAGUCGAACGCUGAAGGAAGGAGCUUGCUCUUUCCGGAUGAGUUGCGAACGGGUGAGUAACGCGUAGGUAACCUGCCUGGUAGCGGGGGAUAACUAUUGGAAACGAUAGCUAAUACCGCAUAACAGUAGAUGUUGCAUGAUAUCUACUUAAAAGGUGCAAUUGCACCACUACCAGAUGGACCUGCGUUGUAUUAGCUAGUUGGUGAGGUAACGGCUCACCAAGGCGACGAUACAUAGCCGACCUGAGAGGGUGAUCGGCCACACUGGGACUGAGACACGGCCCAGACUCCUACGGGAGGCAGCAGUAGGGAAUCUUCGGCAAUGGACGGAAGUCUGACCGAGCAACGCCGCGUGAGUGAAGAAGGUGUUCGGAUCGUAAAGCUCUGUUGUAAGAGAAGAACGAGUGUGAGAGUGGAAAGUUCACACUGGGACGGUAUCUUACCAGAAAGGGACGGCUAACUACGG
rnacentral:rRNA from 1 species